rnacentral:rRNA from 1 species
UACGUAGGGGGCAAGCGUUGUCCGGAUUUAUUGGGCGUAAAGAGCGUGUAGGCGGCCAUUCAGGUCAGCUGUGAAAACUCGAGGCUCAACCUCGAGACGUCGGUUGAAACCGUUUGGCUAGAGUCCGGAAGAGGAGAGUGGAAUUCCUGGUGUAGCGGUGAAAUGCGCAGAUAUCAGGAGGAACACCGAUGGCGAAGGCAGGUCUCUGGGCCACUACUGACGCUGAGAAGCGAAAGCAUGGGGAGCGAACAGG